rnacentral:tRNA from 1 species
GGGCCUGUAGCUCAGCUGGGAGAGUGUUUGUUUGGCAGACAAAAGGUCGUCGGUUCGAUCCCGAUCAGUCCA